UUUAGAUGGUACACGUCUGCAAGUAGUUGUUGAAAAAAAUAAAAUAUCCCCUGGAUAGUCCAACAUCCUCAUUAUAUAACUCAAAACUAGAUGUUUCUAAGUGGGUGGAUCAGAGUUUGGCCAGGUAGUUUAUUGCCCACUCCAUAUUUUCUUAAACUUUCUUGUCCUUUGAAGACCCCAAAGUGAGAGUACAUGCACCAAUACAUUUUACAAUGCCCUAUGUCCAGCUCUGGUGAUGGUUAUCUAGAUGUGUUAUGGUCUAGGCCUGGUGUAAGAUCAAAGCCCACAAUAAAGGUUAUCCCAACAUUUACAAAAAACAACUCAUAACAUAUCAAAGGCCAACUCAUGCUUUGGCAAUAUCCAG